rnacentral:rRNA from 1 species
UACGUAGGUCCCGAACGUUGUCCGGAUUUAUUGGGCGUAAAGCGAGCGCAGGUGGUUUAUUAAGUCUGGUGUAAAAGGCAGUGGCUCAACCAUUGUAUGCAUUGGAAACUGGUAGACUUGAGUGCAGGAGAGGAGAGUGGAAUUCCAUGUGUAGCGGUGAAAUGCGUAGAUAUAUGGAGGAACACCGGUGGCGAAAGCGGCUCUCUGGCCUGUAACUGACACUGGGGCUCGAAAGCGUGGGGAGCAAACAGG